UACGGAGGGUGCAAGCGUUAUCCGGAUUCAUUGGGUUUAAAGGGUGCGCAGGCGGGACCUUAAGUCAGUGGUGAAAUCCCUUCGCUUAACGAAGGAACUGCCAUUGAUACUGAGGUUCUUGAAUGUAGUUGACGUUAGUGGAAUGUGUCAUGUAGCGGUGAAAUGCUUAGAUAUCAGGAGGAACACCGAUGGCGAAGGCAGGUCUCUGGGCCGAUACUGACGCUGAGGAGCGAAAGCGUGGGGAGCGAACAGG
rnacentral:rRNA from 1 species